rnacentral:rRNA from 1 species
UCGUCACACUAUCAUUAACUGAAUCCAUAGGUUAAUGAGGCGAACCGGGGGAACUGAAACAUCUAAGUACCCCGAGGAAAAGAAAUCAACCGAGAUUCCCCCAGUAGCGGCGAGCGAACGGGGAGGAGCCCAGAGCCUGAAUCAGCAUGUGUGUUAGUGGAAGCGUCUGGAAAGGCGCGCGAUACAGGGUGACAGCCCCGUACACAAAAGCGCAUGUGCUGUGAGCUCGAUGAGUAGGGCGGGACACGUGGUAUCCUGUCUGAAUAUGGGGGGACCAUCCUCCAAGGCUAAAUACUCCUGACUGACCGAUAGUGAACCAGUACCGUGAGGGAAAGGCGAAAAGAACCCCGGCGAGGGGAGUGAAAAAGAACCUGAAACCGUGUACGUACAAGCAGUGGGAGCCCCACCACCAAAGCAUUCUCUGGUGUUGAAGGCCCUGCAAAGCAGCAUCGCGGUGGCGGAGCGUCGUUUGCGACGCCCAACACACAAAACAAGCGGUGAAUGCUUUGGGGUGGGGUGACUGCGUACCUUUUGUAUAAUGGGUCAGCGACUUAUAUUCUGUAGCAAGGUUAACCGAAUAGGGGAGCCGGAGGGAAACCGAGUCUUAAUUGGGCGUUAAGUUGCAGGGUA